AUUGAACGCUGGCGGCAUGCCUUACACAUGCAAGUCGAACGGCAGCGCGGGAGCAAUCCUGGCGGCGAGUGGCGAACGGGUGAGUAAUACAUCGGAACGUGCCCAAUCGUGGGGGAUAACGCAGCGAAAGCUGUGCUAAUACCGCAUACGAUCUACGGAUGAAAGCAGGGGAUCGCAAGACCUUGCGCGAAUGGAGCGGCCGAUGGCAGAUUAGGUAGUUGGUGAGGUAAAGGCUCACCAAGCCUUCGAUCUGUAGCUGGUCUGAGAGGACGACCAGCCACACUGGGACUGGGACACGGCCCAGACUCCUACGGGAGGCAGCAGUGGGGAAUUUUGGACAAUGGGCGAAAGCCUGAUCCAGCCAUGCCGCGUGCAGGAUGAAGGCCUUCGGGUUGUAAACUGCUUUUGUACGGAACGAAACGGUCUUUUCUAAUAAAGAAGGCUAAUGACGGUACCGGAAGAAUAAGCACCGGCUAACUACGUG
rnacentral:rRNA from 1 species